rnacentral:lncRNA from 13 species
AUGUCCCAGAAGAACUGUGAGCCUGAAUCCGGAGCCCCAACCUCUCCUAGCCUCCUGGAGGAGGAUGACCCAGGGUCCCUAUCCUGGCAACAGCAGGCCACCAGUUCAAGGGACAAGAAACUUCUAAGCUCCCUCCACAUUUCACAUAGGGCCCAGGUAGCCUUGGAGUGCCUGCCUUUCUUCCGCACCUAUGGGUGCCUCCUAGCAGAGGAGCGGUUGGUCCUGCAGCCCGAGAUACCACUCCAGGAGGACUCAGAACUGCUUGGUGGGUUCUUCCCUUACUACCGCUCUGAGGAGGAGAGUGUGCCCAGCCUGGCCCCUCCUGGAUGGUCACACAGGGUCCCUUACUACCGCUCUGAGGAGGAGAGUGUGCCCAGCCUGGCCCCUCCUGGAUGGUCACACAGGGUCCCUUACUACCGCUCUGAGGAGGAGAGUGUGCCCAGCCUGGCCCCUCCUGGAUGGUCACACAGGGGCUCCCAAGACCCACCCACUGCGAGGGACAGGCUGGCUGCUUCUGCAGGACAACAGUCAAGGACGAAUGUUCUACUCUAACAGGUCCCUAGACAGGCCCCUCUCAGGGCUGCUGGGGCUCUUGGAGCAAGGUAUCACUGGUUGGGAGCACAGGGACUCCAGGAAGACUGUCCUGUUCAAGCCCAGCUUGACCACCAUGGAGGAAAAUGGGCUGGGGAACAUGGUUUCCUUAUAAGAAGAGAAUAGCAGCAGCAACAAUCGAGCCAUUGUGAGAAUUACAUACAACCAUGCGCCCAAAGUAGCAAGCGUGGCGGUGAGCUCACAGAAGCUUUUAUUUGGUCCUUGUGACUUGCUAGGCUCUCAGACAAAUGUUUCAUUAGCAUCAUCUCAUUUAAUCCUAUUAAUAAUCCUAUAAGAUAGGCCGUACUAUAAUU